rnacentral:lncRNA from 1 species
UUGGUAACAUGCACACUGAUGUGUAAGCAACUCUUUGCUCAGAUGCUUCUCUAAACAUGUUGCAGCAACUUGGUCUUUAAGUCAUGUAGGCUCACCUAACAGUUAUUGCCCACACUUCUUAGUUAAACCUGACCCACCAUUCGCAAACAGGUGCAAGGCCAUCAUUAGAUCCCUCACCUAAUAGUUAUUGGGCCCAACCCCAUCCUUACCCUGGA